UACGUAGGUGACAAGCGUUGUCCGGAUUUACUGGGCGUAAAGAGCGCGCAGGCGGUCGAUCAAGUCGAGUGUGAAAGCCCCCGGCUCAACUGGGGAGGGUCAUUCGAUACUGAUCGACUCGAAGGCAGGAGAGGGUAGUGGAAUUCCCGGUGUAGUGGUGAAAUGCGUAGAUAUCGGGAGGAACACCAGUGGCGAAGGCGGAUCUCUGGGCCAUUACUGACGCUGAGGAGCGAAAGCGUGGGGAGCGAACAGG
rnacentral:rRNA from 1 species